AAUAGGGUGUGGGAUUUGAUUCCUGGAGCCCUUCCCAAACGGAAGACUGAGACUAGAAUAUCACACCACUAGUAAUGGGGACCUGGCCUGGGCUCGUCCUAUUAAGAUUCUGCUGCUGCUAUCAGAAUGCUGGGCUCAGACUGACGUUAUUUUUCAGUUGAUAGCACUGUUUUCCCCUGGUGAUCCUGCAGAUUAUAGAGAAGACCUGAUGACCCAUGUUUUCCCGUCCUGCAGUUAUGAAGAUCUGACUCUUUUAUAUGGAGCACUCAGCAGCUCCCCUGAAGAUAUUUCUGUUAAUGGGAGACUGCUGGAUUCAAACAUCUGUAAGAAAACACCACAAAUUUGGAAAUGAAUAUAAAUACAAUAGACAGCAAUCUGGAGACACAAGAUGCCUAAAACCAUCAAGAAAAGUAAAUCAAAAUAAUUAAAAUUGCUACUCUAUGAAGUUUUCUCAGAGGGAGUUAGUUGCUGAGUUGGGCAUUAACCUUUGAGAAAUGUAUGGCUAUAGUUACCUACAUAUAAUUUAUUUUAGCACAAGAUGUCCAGUGAAACUAACAUUUUUCUGAUUAAAUUUUAGUUUCCUUAUGCAUUUUGUACAUCCAAACACUAUAUAUUUAACUAAUAAAGCUGUUCUGUGUUCCUGAUCUAGUGUUAAAUCUUGGGGGGGAGGGGGGAAACAGGGUUUACAAAUGCUUUAAAUACAAAAUAAUUUUCCCAAUAAAAUAUUCCCCUAAAUUUAUCUUCAGAGGCAUAGGAGAUUUGAACACGUACAGUUUAGCUGUAAGAGAGUGUCUUUAACUGACAACUCAGACUGAAAGCUAGCCUAUCUUUUUUUUUUCUUUGCUUUGUCACUUACAUAAGAUCAUAAAGCUAUUUUAUUUGUAGUAAAAAUACCACUGUAUAACAACUUUAGCCCCAUGGACUCACAGAAUAACACUGUAUAAAUUGUACCAACAUCUAUGGGCUGACUGUGGGCUGGAUCCUUGAACUGUUGUGCCCUCAACUGUUGUUGACUUCUCCCUCAUGACAGUUGUUAUGCACAAGUGAAUGGACUUCAGUAGGAGUCGGAGCAUGCAAAAACUGCAGACCCUGAUUUCAUACAAGUAUCUAGAUUCCAGCUAUAGAAUUACAACCUAGAAAAACACUCUGAUAAGGUGUAAGAGCUUCAAAAAUUGGACCUGGGUUUAACUUCAACAGGACGACAGGUAUACUAUCUGAACCGAUCUUUACAAUACAUAGCACGGGGAGUGGCUGGCUGAUAACUGUACUACAAUAGCUGUACUCCCAGUAAGUGAACAGUAAAAAUGAUUACCCAGUAGUGGGUGAUAUUUUGGUCAUGAAACAUUUAGUUUUAAACACACGAGAGUUUCCUGUUUAAGAUAUAAAACACGAAUUCACAUUUUUUUUAAACUAACUGGUAAAAAUAUAUAAAGCGAUUUUGAAAUAAGGCUAUCACAAUAUGAUGAGCUAAUUGUUGCUACAUUUUCUUUAAAUUUUAACAAGAUUGAGAUGCAUGUAACUUCUUUAAAAAUAACUACACGGAAGGUAAGACUAAUGCAAUUUUUGUAAAAUAAUGGAAAUUAAAACUUAGUGCUAUGUAACUGCU